CUCUGUGUCUUCUUCCACCCAAGUGUUCUUCACGACGUCCAGCCGCUUCUUGGUUCUUUUCUAUGAAAUGUUUUUGCUCAUUGUUGAAAACUUAAAGGCAAAAACCAAACCCAUCUUCCAGUUGUGGGAUAAAGCAUCUUCAUCGUCUGAUUCCAUUAUUUCUCAAGUGUGCUACGCGAUUGUGUUCCUGUUAGCUUUUACUUUCCUGAACAGGAUCAUGUUCUAAAGAUGAGAAGCCACGCUAUUACCAGCAGGUUGGAAGAUGAAUAAAGGCACCGUCGAGGCCUCUGAUGGACUAAACCUGCAUGUUCAGCACCCAAAUACAAAGUUUGUGUCUUCAACAAAAUCCCUUCAUAAUUGUUUCUUUUGCUUCAGACGAGAGAAAAAGUCGACACCUGCUUUCCUUCUGCCAUCGUCGCUGGGAAGUGUCCUCUUGUCCAUCUCCUGUCCAGAGGCGCCUUCCUGCUGUGCCCCCCGGAAUAUGGCUCUUUCUGAUUUUACCAGCCCUUUUCACAUCACUGCACCCAGGGGAAACGUCCUCUCCCCAGCCUCCUAAAGUGUGGCCAUGCUAUCUCCUUCCUGAGACACUUUCCUCUGGAGAUUGCCCUGCUGUGAUAGCCUAGUCAUUGCCAUCCCGGACACUCAUGGUACCCUGUACCCGAACCAAAUCAGAGCACUUUGACACAAGGCAGCCUCCAGGCAGGGGUCACCCUGGGAUUGUAAGAUCCAUGUCACUCCAACAGAGCCUCUUCCUUCCCUCUCACUGGUUUCUGCCAACAGAGGGCGGCCAGGCACCACGCCCAUAUGCCUUGAAUCUGAGCUAACCACCAUGUAGGAUCUAAGAAAAAUAUGCUUACCAG